UACAGAGGUCCCAAGCGUUGUUCGGAUUCAUUGGGCGUAAAGGGUGCGUAGGUGGCGCCGUAAGUGGGGUGUGAAAUUUCGGAGCUUAACUCCGAAACUGCAUUCCAUACUGCGGUGCUUGAGGACUGGAGAGGAGACUGGAAGUUUACGGUGUAGCAGUGAAAUGCGUAGAGAUCGUAAGGAAGACCAGUGGCGAAGGCGGGUCUCUGGACAGUUCCUGACACUGAGGCACGAAGGCCAGGGGAGCAAACGGG
rnacentral:rRNA from 1 species